rnacentral:misc_RNA from 1 species
CGAUUUUUUUUUUUUUGGAUUUGAUUUUGUUUAAAUUGAUUGAUUUCACGUGAAGACACAAACCCUACGUGGAAAAUCUCGAACUGGGUAUCUUUGUUUUUGCUUUGUUUCUUAAUUUGGUUUUAUUUGAGGGUGACUUGGACAUGGGUUUUCCUUUUUCAUAUUAAUGUGUUGCGAGUGGUUGAUUGGAUUGCUCGGUUGAUUUGAGUCAAUUUGGGCAAAAGGUUAAAAUCUAGAAUAAGAUAACUUUGAACAGCGAGUAGUUGGAUUAAAUAAGGAAAUGGGGUUUGUUUUUUUCAUUGUUUUUUUUUUGUCUUAUUUUGUGGUUGCUUUACCGGACACUAGAAAUGUUAAACGUGCUUUUUGGCACGAUACAUGAUUGGAUUUUGUGGAAGAAAUGGUUGCUCAGUUGAAGUUUUCAAAUGGGUUUUGUUUUGAUUUGGUAUUAUUGUCUUAUAUUUUGAUUCUUUUGUUGGUUGGAACAGAUCGAAAGGGUCUUUCUGGGUAUAGUUCAGGUUUAUAUUUGAUUGAAAGUAACUUCUUUGGAAAUUGACUUUUCUAUUGAAAUAUUCUUUAUGAGAAAGGUGAUUUUCUGCAAAAUUCCUAUUGAUUUCGUUCAUUAUUAAUUGCUUGUGGAUAGUGAUUCAAUCAAUCAUACCAGUGAUUGUAGAGGAAUUAACAAAAUAGCUUGUGUUUUCUCCAAUUUUUGUUUGAUUUCAGCUUUCAACUCUAUCUAAUAUUCUCAGCAGGAUUAUUUUCCAUACACACUUUUCAAUUAUUUAGUUUCUGCAUGAAUUAUUUUAUAUAUCUUCCCUUCUUGGUUUUUUCUUUGUCAACAGCAUAUUACUUGCUGAUUAUUUUUUGCAGUUGAUUUUUGGAUCUAUACAUGUUUGGAAAUAUGUUGUCAUUUUAAGGAAACUGCAAGCAAUAAAACUAUUUCUCCAUCUUCCUAGUGCCACUUCUUAAGUUUUUAUAUUCUUUGUGCUGUUAGUCCUUUAUUUUUCCUUUUGUUUGAAGUGAUUAAUGUUCUUCUCUAGCAGUUUGUUAGUCCUGUUUAGAAAUCAAAUUUGUGUUCAGUAUGUUGUGCUUUAGAAAAUAGAGUUCACAUUUAGCAUGUUGUGCUUAACUGCCUAUUCUGUGUAAUUUUUUCAAACAGUUAAAGAAGUCCCCAUUUUAUUAUUCAGAAGCGAAUGAAGCAUCAAAUAUUUUGAAAACAUACAACAUUGUCAGAUUCAGUCAUCCUACUAGAAGUACUGCUCAAUUUGGAAUAGAAAUGGCUCCUGGGGGCAGCGCUUGCAAAGAGGUACUUGAAUCUCACCCUACAGUUGCAGACUAUGACAUUGGAACAACAAAAGUAGAGAAUAACAGUACAACAACUAAAGGUACUCUCGGUUUUGGGGGAAAGCAUGGAGUUUAUUCAAACAAUGGUGUGCAUGAGCUGCUGGAGUGCCCUGUCUGCUCAAAUUUGAUGUACCCUCCAAUUCAUCAGGUCUUUUCAUGAUUUCAUCUAUUUUACCCCUCUUAUUGGCCCCUUACUUAAGCCACCUCUCUCCAUUUUUUGAGGCAGCAUUUCACAUAGUUUGGGAUGAGUUGAUUCUCCCCCACUUACAAAGACAACAACUAAGCCUUAAUCCAAACUAGUUGAAGUCGGCUAUAUGAAUCAUUUUUCUCCAUUCUUCCUCAUUUAGAAUUGAAAAUUUUCUUAUUCUAUGUAAUGCUUACAACAGGAUUUAGAACCUCUUCUUUUUCUCCUUUUCCCAAAAGUUAUCAUAAGGAAAUUCUUUGCUUACGAUUCCUCAAAUAAUUUAGAGAGGUCAUUUCUAGUUUAACUUCCUGAUAGGGGAGCUCACAGUUCGGUUCGGGAAUUCUUCAAACCAUAAGCUCAUUUUUUUAAACCAAGCCAGCCAGUUAAGUUUGGGAAUCCUCCAGAGUCCAAACUGAAACCUAAUCUUCUGUUGGUUAACCCUUUUUUUUAACUAAGAUUUUGAGCUUUAUUUUUUAGGCCAUAUAAUGAUACAUGUUACACUUUUUUUUUUUAGCCAAAAUCCAUACCACAUUCUAUCCAAAAUUUCACACGCACAAUUUAACAAAAAUCCACCUAGGUAUUCUUUAAAAAAAAUAACAUAAAGCCCUUAAUGCUAACCAUUAACAUAUAAAUGUAUAUCCAUAUAGAGGCAUAGUGUCUAGAUUAUGAUAGAUGCCUUGGAAUAACGUUGUGGUGGAGAGUUGCUUUCAGACUCAGAGAGUGUUGGUUGACCCAUAUGAAGGGGAUUUGGAAAAUACAUAAGAAAGCACCAUAAUUUGUAAAGGAGAUAAGUCUUCACAUUCUUUAAUAAUGGUUGUAGAGUAAUGAAUGAGGCUUCACUGAUUAGUCUGUUUCACUGCAUUGUUCAAGUCAUUUAGGAAUCAGGAAGUAAUACGUCAUGAUUUGUUUACAAUAAAAAUUGUAACUUCUUAUUUUGGUUAAUCAAAUUUGAUGAUCAUUUUAGCAUUCCAAUCUAGAAAAUAAUUAUCAGUUUAGCAUUCCAAUCAAGAAAUUAAUUUUCUUUUUAUUUAUUUUUCUCUCUUUUUAAAAUUGCUGAAUGUAGUGAUCAAAUAGCUUAACUACACCUUUUGUGUUGGACUUUGUAUAUAUAGUGCCCAAAUGGACACACUUUAUGCAUGAACUGCAAGAUUAGAGUGCAUAACUGUUGUCCUACGUGUCGCUAUGAUCUUGGAAAUAUAAGAUGUUUAGCGCUGGAGAAAGUUGCAGAAUCACUAGAACUACCCUGCAAGUACCAGGAUUUGGGAUGUCAUGAUAUUUUCCCAUACUACAGCAAGCUCAAACAUGAGCAACACUGUCAAUUUCGUCCAUAUAAUUGCCCUUAUGCUGGGUCUGAGUGCUCUGUCACAGGUGACAUCCCAACCCUUGUUGCACAUCUCAAGGACGAUCACAAGGUUGACAUGCAUGAU